rnacentral:rRNA from 1 species
ACUGUGAGCUCGAUGAGUAGGGCGGGACACGUGGUAUCCUGUCUGAAUAUGGGGGGACCAUCCUCCAAGGCUAAAUACUCCUGACUGACCGAUAGUGAACCAGUACCGUGAGGGAAAGGCGAAAAGAACCCCGGCGAGGGGAGUGAAAAAGAACCUGAAACCGUGUACGUACAAGCAGUGGGAGCCUCUUAAUGGGGUGACUGCGUACCUUUUGUAUAAUGGGUCAGCGACUUAUAUUCUGUAGCAAGGUUAACCGAAUAGGGGAGCCGAAGGGAAACCGAGUCUUAACUGGGCGUUAAGUUGCAGGGUAUAGACCCGAAACCCGGUGAUCUAGCCAUGGGCAGGUUGAAGGUUGGGUAACACUAACUGGAGGACCGAACCGACUAAUGUUGAAAAAUUAGCGGAUGACUUGUGGCUGGGGGUGAAAGGCCAAUCAAACCGGGAGAUAGCUGGUUCUCCCCGAAAGCUAUUUAGGUAGCGCCUCGUGAAUUCAUCUCCGGGGGUAGAGCACUGUUUCGGCAAGGGGGUCAUCCCGACUUACCAACCCGAUGCAAACUGCGAAUACCGGAGAAUGUUAUCACGGGAGACACACGGCGGGUGCUAACGUCCGUCGUGAAGAGGGAAACAACCCAGACCGCCAGCUAAGGUCCCAAAGUCAUGGUUAAGUGGGAAACGAUGUGGGAAGGCCCAGACAGCCAGGAUGUUGGCUUAGAAGCAGCCAUCAUUUAAAGAAAGCGUAAUAGCUCACUGGUCGAGUCGGCCUGCGCGGAAGAUGUAACGGGGCUAAACCAUG